UGUGUCUAUUUCUACCAUUGCAGAGUAAAGAGUCCUUUAGAGGAGAAAUCAGAAAAUCCUGAUGUUGUACUGCAUUUUUAUGUAACUCAACACUGACUUUAAAAAGCCCCUGACUUGUAGUUCCAGCUUUGAAAAGUUUCUAGGCAGAGAAGUGAACUCCCAGACAGCUUCCUUGCAUGCCACCAGGCACCUCCAGUCCUUAAACAGGGCUUUUCACAAUGUACAUUUUGGAUAUAGACUCUUAAAUUCUUCCUAAGCACCACUUUGCAUACAUAAAUCUCUUUUUGGAACUGAG